rnacentral:rRNA from 1 species
GAUGAACGCUGGCGGCGUGCCUAAUACAUGCAAGUCGAGCGAACAGACGAGGAGCUUGCUCCUCUGACGUUAGCGGCGGACGGGUGAGUAACACGUGGAUAACCUACCUAUAAGACUGGGAUAACUUCGGGAAACCGGAGCUAAUACCGGAUAAUAUAUUGAACCGCAUGGUUCAAUAGUGAAAGACGGUUUUGCUGUCACUUAUAGAUGGAUCCGCGCCGCAUUAGCUAGUUGGUAAGGUAACGGCUUACCAAGGCAACGAUGCGUAGCCGACCUGAGAGGGUGGUCGGCCACACUGGAACUGAGACACGGUCCAGACUCCUACGGGAGGCAGCAAUAGGGAAUCUUCCGCAAUGGGCGAAAGCCUGACGGAGCAACGCCGCGUGAGUGAUGAAGGUCUUCGGAUCGUAAAACUCUGUUAUUAGGGAAGAACAAAUGUGUAAGUAACUAUGCACGUCUUGACGGUACCUAAUCAGAAAGCCACGGCUAACUACGUG